AGGUGGGUACAGUGACCUGGAAAACAUCGAUUGUUCAGCCAAACGGCAAAACAAAAGCAGGGAGCAUAUAAAUGCCCACAUCAGAUUCAAGCUUCUGGGAAAAAGUUGCAUCGAUUAUGAUGAAGUUCUGCGUAUUCAAACUGCACAACACAACGAUAAAGUAAGAAGAAACAGGGAUGUUAUCAAACUGCUUAUUAACACCACUGCGUUUUGGGGUGUGUAAUAAUUUGCUUUUAGAGGACACGACGAGAGGGAAAGCUCUGCCAACAAAGGCAACUACAAGGAGUUUGAAGAGUCAAAUCCUGUCCUACACUGGUCAAGCACCUCAACUCAUGCCUCAUACCCUCAUUCAAUCACUGCUGCGAUCCCUUUCCAACACUGUGACAAUGACCCAACACACCUCCAGGCUGUGUAAGGGCUAUUUGAC